AACUAGCCUGUCGAACAGCAGUGGUUCGAUAGGUUCCCUGUCGAACCACGGUUGUUCGAUAGGGUG
rnacentral:pre_miRNA from 1 species